UAAUAAAAAGGUCUAAUUAAGCAAAUGAUCAGUUGAAUGAAGGGUCUGGUUCAGUGAUGGAGAGCUUAGUUCGGAUGAAAACCAGCAGACACAGGGGGUCCGGAUGACCGGGGCUGGGAAACACUGCGCUAGAAAAAUAACACUCUUAAAAUAGAAUUAGCUGGAACCAAUCAGCGAGUUCACAACUUUGUUCCCCGUCUGUUUUCGUUGCAAUUGGUAUAAGUUAGUACGCAGCUGGGGAUGAUCCCGAGAUUGUACCGUAUAUUAGCCAGUCUGCAGCUUAGUGCACAGCUCCGUACUGAAUCUACAAUUUUUCUUUUUCUCAGUGCAAAUCCCGCUUAUUAUUUCGCUCGGGUCGGAGAGACGGUUAAUGUCCCCUGUGUCUUCGAUUGGAAACUCGAAUCUACCUAUCGACUUCGCUGUUUCCGAGACAACGCAAGCGGAGGACUGAGCGAGCCGUUCCCUCGUGAAUGCGGAGAUCCGGACUCCCAAUGCAGGAUCACCAGCACCGUAGAGAGCAAUAGAGUCACGCUAACAAUCCGGAACACGCAGAGAAACGAUAGCGGGCGAUAUUACUGCGCUGAAGAAGUUAUCAGCUCACUGAGAUUCUCAAACGAGUCAGUUGUGAUCGUGUCUGGAGUUUCAGAUGAUUCCUCUGUGAAUCGGUCAGUGUUUAUCCUGGCCCCACUGGCUGUCUCCGGCAGCGCGCUCGAUUCUCAGGCGACCCUGACAUUAGUGUGUCUAAUCCGGGGCCUCUCCUCGCCCUCGGUCCGGGUCCGGUGGUUCAUCUCCGGUAACUUCGCGGCGGAGAAAACGCCGAGCUCCGGGAUCAAAGUGAAGGAUGGCGGAGAGGGACAGGGAGACGGAGAGAGCUACGCCGCUACGAGCCGCCUGACAAUCCCGGUGGAGACGUGGAGAAGCGGGACUGAGUGCACAUGCGAAGCGCAGCUGGACAGGAACACUUCUAUCCGCAGAGGGAAUGUUUCAUACGCUGGGAUUCACGGGGCAGGUCUGGUUGCAGAGCGGUGCCUGGUUCAGUACGCCGUGUUCUCCGGGGUCUCCCUCCUCGCUCUCUCCGCGGCUCUCUGCGGCUGCGCGCUGUGGACCCGCCGUCGCUUCAAACCAGCGUCCACUGAAGACUCCACGCGUGUAACUAACAAAAGGACCCCCGGCAGCGGAGAUGCAAAGAGGAGAGAUGAAGAGGACAACCUGGUCACCUACGCGAGCUUGGACUUUGAAUCCCAGAAGAACAGAAAGAAGAGACGCACAUAAUAAUAAUAAUAAUAGUAAUAAUAAUAAUAAUGAAUCCUUUGGAGCGUUUUGAUGUUAGUUUUGCGCCUUGAUAUAAUUUUUCAACAGAAGGUUUUUUUAUUAUUUUAUUUUUUUCUAGCUUGCUUGUGAUUUGUAACGGAUGCAAAGUUCAAACGAUUAAUAUCUGUUUAAAAUGAUCAUUAUCAGGGGAAGUCUGAUGGUCAGCUGUCCUCAUACCCCAUUCCUCAGCUCCAAGUUUUGAAUCGUUAUCCAAACUGACCAAACAUUUUGCAACGCCCUGUAGAAUUAACAAAUGUGGACUUCAUAAAGUCGAAUGAAACCGGCUGAAUAAUGAAUCAUAUUUAAUUACACACCACUUUGUUAUUUUCCCAUACAAACUGACAAAAAGUUGAAAAAUGUGACAUAAUAUGUGAAAUAAUAUACCAGUAUUAUGGCUUCCUAAUGAUAGACUUUUUUCUAUAUCAUUUAAUAGUUUCUUUGAUGACA